UAGAAGUUCUUAAUUUGUUGAUUUUGCCAGAGAUUAGAUAAUGGUGACGUCAUAAUAUUAAAAAAUACAGCAUAAAACCAUAAUAGAAUUGACAAGGUUCAAUUCCUUCAAAAAUUGCUAAAUAAUAUCACAAAAAAGAGAAAAGGAAAAGAAAGAAAAAAGAGCAAACAUAUUGGACAAGAAUACCCCUCAACCGUGACUCUCAAACCCUAAAAACCCUGUGCCUAUAAAAUGCAUAGAACCCCAUCUUUCUCUCAAGAAUUCACUCUCCAGGAAUCUCAUCCACUCUACAUCGGCUAAUUGAGAAAGAGAUCUACAAGGAAACAGAUACCUCUGAUCCAGGAUGAGAGCUAAGUGGAAGAAGAAGCGUAUGAGGAGGUUGAAGAGGAAGCGCAGAAAGAUGAGGCAGAGAUCCAAGUAGGCUGCGGGCUUGGACAAGAUGGAUCUUUUUUCUACUGGUACAUGCCUAUGAUGCUUAUGGCUUUGUGCUGCGUGAAGCUGUGGGGAUGAGGGAUGUGUAUUAGGGAAUGUUUCAUCUUGUAUGGUUUUAAGACUGCUUCUGCUUUUAGUAUUCUGUUGGCUUUAAUUUUGUGUUGUAUUUGACGACUUUACUUUAAUAUAUUGCUUAUGGAUGGAUGAAUGAAACUUUGUUAUAAAAUGAUUAAAACAGCAAUGAACUUCUAUGAAUUGUUUUCCACAA